rnacentral:rRNA from 1 species
AUAGCGUAUAUUAAAGUUGUUGCAGUUAAAAAGCUCGUAGUUGAACUUCAGGCCUGGCUGGGCGGUCUGCUUUUGGGCAUGUACUGUCUGGCUGGGCCUUACCUCUUGGUGAGCCGGUGUGCCCUUUAUUGGUGUGCAUUGGGGAACCAGGACUUUUACCUUGAGAAAAUUAGAGUGUUCAAAGCAGGCCUAUGCCCGAAUACAUUAGCAUGGAAUAAUAAAAUAGGACGUGCGGUUCUAUUUUGUUGGUUUCUAGGAUCGCCGUAAUGAUUAAUAGGGAUAGUUGGGGGCAUUAGUAUUCAGUUGCUAGAGGUGAAAUUCUUGGAUUUACUGAAGACUAAUUACUG